rnacentral:rRNA from 1 species
GAGGUGAAAGCCCAGGGCUCAACCUUGGAACUGCCUUUGAUACUGGAUGUCUAGAGUGCGGGAGAGGUGUGUGGAACUCCGAGUGUAGAGGUGAAAUUCGUAGAUAUUCGGAAGAACACCAGUGGCGAAGGCGACACACUGGCCCGUAACUGACGCUGAGGCGCGAAAGCGUGGGGGGCAAACAGGAUUAGAUACCCUGGUAGUCCACGCCGUAAACGAUGAUAACUAGCUGUCCGGGCACAUGGUGUUUGGGUGGCGCAGCUAACGCAUUAAGUUAUCCGCCUGGGGAGUACGGUCGCAAGAUUAAAACUCAAUUAAUUACGGGA